UAUUCAUUAAAUCAUAAUAUAUAUAUAUGAGAAAUAAAUAUCGAUAUAAUCCAUGUCUUUAAUUAAGAAGAGAAAUUGGCCAUAUAAAAUCAAAUAUGUAGAUAUGAGUAUAGAAAAAAAUUGACGAUCGUACCAAAGAGGUUAAACAGAAAAAGAUAAAUAUAGCUUCGUAAAUAUGAUAUAAACGUGUAAUUUCUAAAACUUGUAAUUAUACGUUUUAAUCACUGUUAUAAAAAAUGGUGAUAGAAGAAUUCAAAAAUGAUUUUCACACCUAUGGUUAUGAUAUGUUAGAUAAGAAAAAUCAUAAGUAAAUGUGAAUCAGGAUUAUCAUCGUUCACUCACUAGAUGGCGUUUCGAAGUAAGAACAUUUUCCAAUCUCUAAUUUUAUUUAAUCUAUGUCAUAUUCUCGCAUUACUGUAAAAUUACGCGAAACUAAAGAUCGUGCAUUUAAUAAAAGCUUUGAUAACUUAAGUAGAAUAAAAAUGUUAUUAGCGAAAGAUAUUGCGUUUUGUAAGUAAUAUAGUAUUAUAUACAAAUAAUAUCAAUAUAACCGUUUUUUUUAUUCA